GCAUAUCAAUAAGCGGAGGAAAAGAAACCAACAGGGAUUGCCCUAGUAACGGCGAGUGAAGCGGCAACAGCUCAAAUUUGAAAUCUGGCCCUUUCAGGGUCCGAGUUGUAAUUUGUAGAGGGUGCUUUGGCGUUGGCUGUGGUCUAAGUUCCUUGGAACAGGACGUCGCAGAGGGUGAGAAUCCCGUAUGUGGCCGCCAGUCUUCGCCGUGUAAAGCCCCUUCGACGAGUCGAGUUGUUUGGGAAUGCAGCUCUAAAUGGGAGGUAAAUUUCUUCUAAAGCUAAAUAUUGGCCAGAGACCGAUAGCGCACAAGUAGAGUGAUCGAAAGAUGAAAAGCACUUUGGAAAGAGAGUCAAAAAGCACGUGAAAUUGUUGAAAGGGAAGCGCUUGCAGCCAGACUUGCCUGUAGUUGCUCAUCCGGGCUUUUGCCCGGUGCACUCUUCUAUGGGCAGGCCAGCAUCAGUCCCAGCGGUUGGAUAAAUGUCUGUUGAACGUACCUCUCUUCGGGGAGGACUUAUAGCUUCAGGCGGCAUACAACCAGCCGGGAUUGAGGUCCGCGCAUCUGCUAGGAUGCUGGCGUAAUGGCUGUAAGCGGCCCGUCUUGAAACACGGACCAAGGAGUCUAACAUCUAUGCGAGUGUUUGGGUGUCAAGCCCGAGCGCGUAAUGAAAGUGAACGGAGGUGGGAACCCCUCGGGGCGCACCAUCGACCGAUCCUGAUGUCUUCGGAUGGAUUUGAGUAAGAGCAUAGCUGUUGGGACCCGAAAGAUGGUGAACUAUGCCUGAAUAGGGUGAAGCCAGAGGAAACUCUGGUGGAGGCUCGCAGCGGUUCUGACGUGCAAAUCGAUCGUCAAAUUUGGGCAUAGGGGCGAAAGACUAAUCGAACCAUCUAGUAGCUGGUUCCUGCCGA
rnacentral:rRNA from 1 species